rnacentral:rRNA from 1 species
UACAGAGGUCUCAAGCGUUGUUCGGAUUCAUUGGGCGUAAAGGGUGCGUAGGCGGCGCGGUAAGUCGGGUGUGAAAUCUCGGAGCUUAACUCCGAAACUGCAUUCGAUACUGCCGUGCUUGAGGACUGGAGAGGAGACUGGAAUUUACGGUGUAGCGGUGAAAUGCGUAGAUAUCGUAAGGAAGACCAGUGGCGAAGGCGGGUCUCUGGACAGUUCCUGACGCUGAGGUGCGAGAGCGUGGGGAGCGAACCGG